AGCGGACCGAAGGGAGCUUGCUCCUUUAGGUUAGCGGCGGACGGGUGAGUAACACGUGGGCAACCUGCCCUGCAGACUGGGAUAACUUCGGGAAACCGGAGCUAAUACCGGAUAACACCGAAAACCGCAUGGUUUUCGGUUGAAAGGCGGCCUUUAGCUGUCACUGCAGGAUGGGCCCGCGGCGCAUUAGCUAGUUGGUGAGGUAACGGCUCACCAAGGCGACGAUGCGUAGCCGACCUGAGAGGGUGACCGGCCACACUGGGACUGAGACACGGCCCAGACUCC
rnacentral:rRNA from 1 species